CGUCUUCACUAAAAUCUCCAUUAUAAUCCUUCUCAAUAUACAAAUCCACAAGCCGGAAUAACCUUCGCCGGCACGGCCAAUCCGCCGCCGCCGAUAUGUUUCUAUCAAUUUUGGUUAGUCGACGGACGACGAUGAAAGAACAAUUACUUGCAUCCAUCGAAGGCCACAACAACCGUCACACCCGUAGUAGCUCCGGCAACAGCCGCAAUGGCGAUUUCAGUAGUAUGCGGCGG
rnacentral:lncRNA from 1 species